GGAGCUUGCUCCACCGGAAAAAGAAGAGUGGCGAACGGGUGAGUAACACGUGGGUAACCUGCCCAUCAGAAGGGGAUAACACUUGGAAACAGGUGCUAAUACCGUAUAACAAUCGAAACCGCAUGGUUUUGAUUUGAAAGGCGCUUUCGGGUGUCGCUGAUGGAUGGACCCGCGGUGCAUUAGCUAGUUGGUGAGGUAACGGCUCACCAAGGCCACGAUGCAUAGCCGACCUGAGAGGGUGAUCGGCCACAUUGGGACUGAGACACGGCCCAAACUCCUACGGGAGGCAGCAGUAGGGAAUCUUCGGCAAUGGACGAAAGUCUGACCGAGCAACGCCGCGUGAGUGAAGAAGGUUUUCGGAUCGUAAAACUCUGUUGUUAGAGAAGAACAAGGAUGAGAGUAACUGUUCAUCCCUUGACGGUAUCUAACCAGAAAGCCACGGCUAACUACGUGCCAGCAGCCGCGGUAAUACGUAGGUGGCAAGCGUUGUCCGGAUUUAUUGGGCGUAAAGCGAGCGCAGGCGGUUUCUUAAGUCUGAUGUGAAAGCCCCCGGCUCAACCGGGGAGGGUCAUUGGAAACUGGGAGACUUGAGUGCAGAAGAGGAGAGUGGAAUUCCAUGUGUAGCGGUGAAAUGCGUAGAUAUAUGGAGGAACACCAGUGGCGAAGGCGGCUCUCUGGUCUGUAACUGACGCUGAGGCUCGAAAGCGUGGGGAGCAAACAGGAUUAGAUACCCUGGUAGUCCACGCCGUAAACGAUGAGUGCUAAGUGUUGGAGGGUUUCCGCCCUUCAGUGCUGCAGCUAACGCAUUAAGCACUCCGCCUGGGGAGUACGACCGCAAGGUUGAAACUCAAAGGAAUUGACGGGGGCCCGCACAAGCGGUGGAGCAUGUGGUUUAAUUCGAAGCAACGCGAAGAACCUUACCAGGUCUUGACAUCCUUUGACCACUCUAGAGAUAGAGCUUCCCCUUUGGGGGCAAAGUGACAGGUGGUGCAUGGUUGUUGUCAGCUCGUGUCGUGAGAUGUUGGGUUAAGUCCCGCAACGAGCGCAACCCUUAUUGUUAGUUGCCAUCAUUCAGUUGGGCACUCUAGCAAGACUGCCGGUGACAAACCGGAGGAAGGUGGGGAUGACGUCAAAUCAUCAUGCCCCUUAUGACCUGGGCUA
rnacentral:rRNA from 1 species